rnacentral:misc_RNA from 1 species
GCAAACUUGGUCAUUUAGAGGAAGUAAAAGUCGUAACAAGGUUUCCGUAGGUGAACCUGCGGAAGGAUCAUCAAUGAAUUUCCAAAAUUCAAUUGGCUUUGGUGGUUGGGGUUUCGGCCCUGUCUCCAUUGCCUUAUCAACCAUCAGUCUCUGUUCCUGCCUCAAGGUGUCUCGACAAUGCCUACUUGUUUGGCAUUGGAUGCCCGAGCCCUUCGUGAAUGGACUUUGACUUUUUGAGUAGUUUAGAGUUGGGUUCGCCUAGUUUUUUUUGGUAGGUUUUUUUAUCUUCCAACAAAAAUUGUGCGCAUACCCCUCUCUUUAUUACUCGUUAUUGUGGGCAAUUAAACAAAAUUAAAAUACAACUUUUAACGAUGGAUCUCUUGGCUCCCGCAUCGAUGAAGAACGCAGC